UGACGGAAAUUGCCGAACGCUUUCGGCCGAAGAGACUGGCGUGAGUUAGCAAUUCUCGCGCGAGGCGCCAGCUAAAUGUUCGCGAGGGUUCUCAGAUGCCCUGUGCUAGACAAAUACUUACUUUCAAAAUAUUAUGAUCUUCCAGUAUCAUCUGGAGUCCGUUCUUGAACACUCGAGCUCCCAGAAGGAAAACGUCAAACAAGAAAACCUUGCUCCUUGUUGCAAUCUAUAAUAAAUAUACAGGACAGAAACAAAAAUUAUACGUACCUGUUUUUACUUAAAUAUUAGCAAUAAAAUAUUUUCAUAAUAUGAA